rnacentral:rRNA from 1 species
CCUACGGGUGGCAGCAGUGAGGAAUAUUGGUCAAUGGCCGGAAGGCUGAACCAGCCAAGCCGCGUGAAGGACGAAGGUGCCAAGCAUUGUAAACUUCUUUUGUCAAGGGACAAAAUCAGGCUCGAGAGCCUGACCGAGGGUACUUGAAGAAAAAGCAUCGGCUAACUCCGUGCCAGCAGCCGCGGUAAUACGGAGGAUGCGAGCGUUAUCCGGAUUUAUUGGGUUUAAAGGGUGCGUAGGCGGAGUGGAAAGUCAGCGGUAAAAGCCCGGGGCUCAACCCCGUCCAGCCGUUGAAACUGGAUGUCGUGAGAGGGCGAGAGGUAUGCGGAAUGCGUAGUGUAGCGGUGAAAUGCUUAGAUAUUGCGCAGAACUCCGAUUGCGAAGGCAGCAUACCGGCGGCGAUCUGACGCUGAGGCACGAAAGCGUGGGUAUCGAACAGGAUUAGAUACCCUGGUAGUC